GUUGUUACGUGAACGUUGAUUUAUUUAUGCAUCAUAAUAAUAAUUUUUUUUUGCGUUUUUUUUUUGUGUGUUCGUGUGCGAAACAACAAUCGUAACAACUAUUUACAAAAAAAAAAUUUAAGUAAAAAAAAAUAAAUAUUAUUGAUAUAUGUUUGUAUGUGCAAAGUGUUCGGCAAUGUUUAUAGAAAAUUACAAAAGAUAAUUAAAUACGACAACAAUAGCAACAACAACAACAAAGCGCAGCCAAUGCGGCUUUCGGCGUGACAACAAUACAAUUGUGCAAUUCAGAAAAAUUAAAAAAAAUAAUCAAAAAAUAAAUAUUAAAAAAAAAUCGAUAGAAAUAAAUAAAUGUAACAACAAAAGCGACUCGAUGUGAGCGCCAACAGUGGCUGCCAAAACAAAAAAAAAAA
rnacentral:sRNA from 1 species